rnacentral:rRNA from 1 species
AUGAACGCUGGCGGCGUGCUUAACACAUGCAAGUCGAACGAGAAUUUGUGGAUCAAGGAUUCGUCCAAGUGAAGCGAAGGAAAGUGGCGGACGGGUGAGUAACGCGUGAGGAACCUGCCUCGGAGUGGGGAAUAACAGUUAGAAAUGACUGCUAAUACCGCAUGAUGCAGUUGGGCCGCAUGGCCCUGACUGCCAAAGAUUUAUCGCUCUGAGAUGGCCUCGCGUCUGAUUAGCUUGUUGGCGGGGUAAUGGCCCACCAAGGCGACGAUCAGUAGCCGGACUGAGAGGUUGGCCGGCCACAUUGGGACUGAGACACGGCCCAGACUCCUACGGGAGGCAGCAGUGGGGAAUAUUGGGCAAUGGGCGCAAGCCUGACCCAGCAACGCCGCGUGAAGGAAGAAGGCUUUCGGGUUGUAAACUUCUUUUAUCAGGGACGAACAGAUGACGGUACCUGAUGAAUAAGCCACGGCUAACUACGUG